AUUCCUACGGGAGGCAGCAGUGAGGAAUAUUGGUCAAUGGCCGGAAGGCUGAACCAGCCAAGCCGCGUGAGGGAGGAAGGCGCAGAGCGUCGCAGACCUCUUUUGCCGGGGGACAAAAGGCCGGACUCGUCCGGUCCUGAGGGUACCCGGAGAAAAAGCAUCGGCUAACUCCGUGCCAGCAGCCGCGGUAAUACGUAUGGUGCAAGCGUUAUCCGGAUUUACUGGGUGUAAAGGGAGCGCAGGCGGUGCGGCAAGUCUGAUGUGAAAGCCCGGGGCUCAACCCCGGGACUGCAUUGGAAACUACC
rnacentral:rRNA from 1 species